rnacentral:rRNA from 1 species
GAUGAACGCUAGCGGCAGGCCUAAUACAUGCAAGUCGAACGGUUCCUAGCAAUAGGAAUAGUGGCGCACGGGUGCGUAACGCGUAACCAACCUACCCUUGACUGGGGGAUAGCCCGCCGAAAGGCGGAUUAAUACCGCAUAAAACCACAGGGUGGCAUCACCAAAUGGUUAAAGAUUUAUUGGUCAAGGAUGGGGUUGCGUGCCAUUAGCUAGUUGGGGGGGUAACGGCCCACCAAGGCGACGAUGGCUAGGGGAGCUGAGAGGCUGGUCCCCCACACGGGCACUGAGAUACGGGCCCGACUCCUACGGGAGGCAGCAGUAGGGAAUAUUGGGCAAUGGCCGAGAGGCUGACCCAGCCAUGCCGCGUGCAGGAUGAAGGCUUUCUGAGUCGUAAACUGCUUUUGCCAGGGAAGAAUAAGGUUCGUGCGCGGACCGACGACGG